rnacentral:lncRNA from 1 species
CCAUUCUUCUUCUACUGCUGUCGUGGCUUCAACUACUGCUCUUGUAGCUUCAACUCCUACUCUUGCAGCUUCAACUUCCGCUCUUGUAGCUUCAACUUCCACUCUUACUUCUGUUCCUUCAUACCCAUGCUCUAAAUUCUCAUGCAUCUCAAUGUCUUCACGUUGUUCGGCUGUGUAAAGCGCGACCACGCCAUCCAUCUCAUGAUCCUGAUCAAUUCCAUCUUCCUCUGUCCCAUCAGAAAGACUAACAUAACUAUCAUCAGUUUCAUCAUCAUCUCCAUCAGAAAGACCAACAUAGCUAUCAUCAGUUUCAUC